GGACAUAAAACUGCCAAACUGCCAUCAGAGUUACAUCUCCAAAUAUAAAAAGGUCUUCCAAAAAUUAGAAACAAGUUUUAGAAGCCUUGAAUGAGAUUUGAGCUAUAGAAAGUUGAAAAACCAAAAAAUCUUCACUGCACUUGUCUGCACUUAAACGCCUACUCUUUGCAUUUGUAUUUUGCACUCAAUCUUGUACCAAUCAGAUCAACUAGUGAUCAUAGGUACUUUCUUUUACUAAUUUUCUUGUAUUCCUAGAGUGAGGAAGUCACUC
rnacentral:lncRNA from 1 species